AUAAAAUGGAAAUGAAGUGCCAGAAAUUAAUAUCGGUUGGAGGUAAGGUUGACAGUUAUCAGCAGAUGUGACAAAGCGGGCAACUUAACAACAAACAACGGCGGUCAGAGGUCGAAACAAGCGCUAGAAAUGUGGCUAACUGCACAGACCUGCUGCUACAUACACAUUUACUUAAGUGCUGGACAGAGUUGAAGAGACACAAGUGCACUGCAUUUGAAGCCGGUGGAUAAGAAGCGCGACGGAAACGCUGUAUGGACUAAGUACACAACGCUAUGCGCACGUAUAUUUAAUUAUGCAAACAACAUUGGUGGAAUAUAAAGAAUCUGGGGAGUUUUCAAAUGCAUACCAUUAAAUGGAGAGGAAUGUGGAACUACUUGGUGCUAACGAAUAUGCCGUAUACCUUGUGUAAUUGUAAACAGAACAAUGGACUAACAAAGCAGAGAGCAAAAGAAUUUUCAAGACAAACUAGUAAACUUACUAAGGAAAGAAGUAGAUAGGUAGAGUGGCCAUCUGACGACGCACCCAGGGCAUUAGGAGGCCCGUCACUCAAGCAAGAUUAACCAAUUUUGAGACUAAAUAUCAAGCGAUCGAUCGAUUUUGCCGCUACAACAACAUUAACAA